GACGAACGCUGGCGGCGUGCUUAACACAUGCAAGUCGAACGGAAAGGUCCUGCAUUUGUGGGCUGUUCGAGUGGCGAACGGGUGAGUAACAAGCGAGUAACCUGCCUUUGACUCUGGGAUAACUUCCGGAAACUGGGGCUAAUACCGGAUAGGAGCUCCUGCUGCCUGGUGGGGGUUGGAAAGUUUCGGCGGUUGGGGAUGGACUCGCGGCUUAUCAGCUUGUUGGUGGGGUAGUGGCUUACCAAGGCGUUGACGGGUAGCCGGCCUGAGAGGGUGACCGGCCACAUUGGGACUGAGAUACGGACCAGACUCCUACGGGAGGCAGCAGUGGGGAAUAUUGCACAAUGGGCGGAAGCCUGAUGCAGCAACGCCGGGUGCGGGAUGACGGCCUUCGGGUUGUAAACCGCUUUCGCCUGUGACGAAGCGUGAGUGACGGUAAUGGGUAAAGAAGCAACGGCUAACUACGUG
rnacentral:rRNA from 1 species